rnacentral:tRNA from 1 species
GGAAGCGUGGCCGAGUGGUUGAAGGCGGCGGUCUUGAAAACCGUUGUGCCGCAAGGCACCAGGGGUUCAAAUCCUCUCGCUUCCGCCA